UACGGGCACCACUGAAAGAUGAAGAGAAGACUCAUCAGGAGCAGAGUGAUUGGAGGAAAUGGGAAGAGCAAAAAGUUUCACAGGCUCUAAGUAGACGGAGCAUUCUUCCCAAGGGAGCCUGGAUUUCAUAGCAGCUUCAAGAAGAGGACUUUGCCCAGUGGCCUGCAGAAGGCAUCAGUGUUUGGUUUGAGGAAAGUUUCUCAGAUUCAACAGGGGAAUUUCCAGUGCUCUACAACUAUUAGCCUCCUCUUGCCCACCACCACUGCUUCCUCAGAUAUUUGCAUGGGGACCUUCUACCCAAGACAUCUCCAGUUAUGUUAAUCACCAGGUGUGUAAGUUAGGAAUGCUUAUAGAUGGUUCAUAUGUUUGUGUUUGUGUGUGCAUGUAUUUUAUCUACAGAAAGGAUGAUCAUUUCUUAG